GUGCCAGCCGCCGCGGUAAAACGUAGGACACAAGCGUUAUCCGGAGUUACUGGGCGUAAAGGGCGUGUAGGCGGAUGGAUAAGUCUAUUCUGAAAGCUCCUGGCUAAACUGGGAGAGGCGAAUGGAGACUGUUUAUCUAGAGUGAGGAAGAGGAAAGUGGAAUUCCGCGUGUAGUGGUGAAAUGCGUAGAGAUGCGGAGGAACACCAGUGGCGAAAGCGACUUUCUGGUCCUUAACUGACGCUGAGGCGCGAAAGCAUGGGGAGCGAACGGGAUUAGAAACCCUUGUAGUCC
rnacentral:rRNA from 1 species